GUACAUAUUUACUAUGAAUAUGACAACUCUGAAAUAUAUUUAGAAGUUCUCAUUUUAAAAGUUUAUAACAUCAUGUUCUGUCACAUUGAAUGUUCGGUUUUUGACUAGAUGAAGUGUUUCCUCCUCAGGCACUUCUCAGAGCAACAACUGAAAUGAAGGCCUUGAUUCACAAAACAGAACUUCUUCCCAUCUUGAUCCAACAGCAUGUGGUGUCACUACUUUGACUGGAAGAGAGCUGUGACCCUGCAGUCACCCAAUAAGACUGUCCUGGAGGAAAAACUCUGUAGCAGGGGAGCAAAGCUCUCUCUUCCCCAUCCCACCAGAGGUGAGUGAGCGAACAGCUGUGUGGUGCUGAGCUGCCUGCUGGGUUAAAUCCCCUCUAAAAGCUGAAAUGAUUGGAGAAGAAAAAGGAAAAAUCCUAAACCUUGAAUAUUGAAAUAAAUUCCUCAUGCAAAGAAAGUUUGCCA
rnacentral:lncRNA from 1 species